rnacentral:rRNA from 2 species
CGUGGGAAUACCUGCCCAGUAUGCGGGGGAUAACUAUCUGAGACUCAGAUGCUAAUACCGCAUAACAACUUCGCCCGCAUGGUCCGAGUUUGAAAGAUGGCUUCGGCUAUCACUUCUGGAUGGUCCCGCGGCGUAUUAGCUAGAUGGUGAGGUAACGGCUCACCAUGGCAAUGAUACGUAGCCGACCUGAGAGGGUAAUCGGCCACAUUGGGACUGAGACACGGCUCAAACUCCUACGGGAGGCAGCAGUAGGGAAUCUUCCACAAUGGACGAAAGUCUGAUGGAGCAACGCCGCGUGAGUGAAGAAGGGUUUCGGCUCGUAAAACUCUGUUGUUAAAGAAGAACAUAUCUGAGAGUAACUGUUCAGGUAUUGACGGUAUUUAACCAGAAAGCCACGGCUAAGUACGUGUCAGCAGCCGCGGUAAUACGUAGGUGGCAAGCGUUGUCCGGAUUUAUUGGGCGUAAAGCGAGCGCAGGCGGUUUUUUAAGUCUGAUGUGAAAGCCUUCGGCUCAACCGAAGAAGUGCAUCGGAAACUGGGAAACUUGAGUGCAGAAGAGGACAGUGGAACUCCAUGUGUAGCGGUGAAAUGCGUAGAUAUAUGGAAGAACACCAGUGGCGAAGGCGGCUGUCUGGUCUGUAACUGACGCUGAGGCUCGAAAGUAUGGGUAGCAAACAGGAUUAGAUACCCUGGUAGUCCAUACCGUAAACGAUGAAUGCUAAGUGUUGGAGGGUUCCGCCCUUCAGUGCUGC